rnacentral:rRNA from 1 species
UUUAUUUGGUUGGGGUGAUUUAAAGAUAAAUUAAAUUCUUUAAUAUAUAGAUUGGUGAUAUCUAAAUUUUAAAUCUAUAUUUUAUAAAUAUAAAAUAAAUUACCUUAGGGAUAACAGCGUAAUUUUUCUUAAAAGUUCUUAUUGAAAGGAAAGUUUGCGACCUCGAUGUUGGAUUAAAAUUAAUUUUUGGUGCAGUAACUUAAAAAUUGGGUCUGUUCGACCUUUAAAAUUUUACAUGAUCUGAGUUUAAACCGGUGUGAGCCAGGUUGGAUUCUAUCUUUAGAUUGUUAAUAUAUUUUAGUACGAAAGGACCAAAUAUAUAUUAAAUUAAUU